rnacentral:lncRNA from 1 species
UUUUUUUUUUUUUUUUUUUUUUUUUCCCCUCCUUUUCCUGACUUUUUAUAUUUUGAGUGAUCCGGGGCUCAGUCUAGACUUUCUGCCCGCUAUCUACACACCCUUCCUUGUGAUUUCAUCCAGACUUUUUUUUUUUUUUUUUUUUUGUGCCAUGCCCAUGUCAUGCAGAGGCUCCCAGGCCAGGAUAAGGGAUGGAACCCAUGCCACAGCAGUUAAGGAUCUGGCAUUGUCAUUGCUAUGGCACAGGUAUUGCUGUGGUGCAGGUUCAGUCCCUGAUCCAGGAACUUCUUCAUGCCAAGGGUGUGGCCAAAAAAUAUAUAAAUCAGCCAUAUCACACCUCUUCAUAAAACUCCCAAGUGGCUCCUCAUCUUAUUCAGUGGAAAAGCCCCCAUUUCGUCAAAGGUCCCCUUCCUCCAGACCUACUGAUCUGAGCCCAUCUCCACUGCACCCCCUCUUGCCCGCUCCUUCUUGCCACUGCACCACAUGGUCCCACCUGAGGGACUUCCCUUCCACUGAAAGGCUCCUUCUUUGGGUCCAGGUACAGUCUUUCCCAUCGCUUCAUGAGGUCUGCUCAGCUGUCACUGGAUUAGUGUGAUCUUCACAGCCACCCAAACCCAGCACACUCUUUGCUCCAUCCCUGCUCACAUUUUCUCCAAGGCACUUAUGCCAUCAGACGCUUUGAAUAUUUACCUUUUUUUUAGUCUCUUGGUUGGUUUCUUCUGCUUGGUUCAUGACAGUGUCUCCGUGCCUGUAACAGUACCUGGCUUAGAGCAAAAAAUGUUUGCUGAGUGACCCUCCAGCUGGAUGGCUCCCACUUCCAUGUCAGGGACUGGGUCUUUUUUAUCUUUGUAUCUGGCAGCCAACCCAGUGGCUUUGUUGGAGGAGGUGCUUGAUAGUGAUCUAGUGAGGCUGUAUAGAACUGAGUUGUAUAAGUAGCUUUGGUUCCUCCCUAAAGUACUCCCUGUGCUGCAGCCCACAGGGACUCAUUUUCAGUAUAGGUUGGCAUAUAGUACGUAGGUGAUGCAGGCAGAUCUCCUCCUGUGCUGCCCCUUUCUCUUGUCUGUGCUCUGCAUUCUAACUUGGGGCUAUAGCCUUAUGUGUCCCUGUUUCUUGCUCUCUGCAUUGGACCAGGUGUUAGGGCGCUUGAGCUGACAUAUGCCCUCAUGAAAUAAUGGAAUGGUUAUGGGAUCUGGAAUCAGAAGGCUUGGGUUUGAAUCUUGGCUUUGCCAUGUACUGAUUUUCCUACCCAGGUCAAGUACGUUUUGUGUUGUCUCUGAGCCUUCUCAACUUUUCUCUUGAAAUAAGUAUAAAUUAAUAAUUUAGUAAGUAGAUUCACAGCUGGUCCCUCUCAGUUUCGGUGUUGUCCUCUGUAAAAGAUGCUUAGUUCAUGAAGUUGUGAGGAUUAGUUGAUUUCGUUGAUAGGGCAACACUAAGUAACUCAUUGUAUUAGUUGUCUAUUUUUCUGUAUAACAAAUUACCCACAAUUUUAGCAGCCUAAAAAAAAUUAUUUAUGGAGUUCUUUUGUGUCCCAGCAGAUUAAGAAUCUGGUGUUACUGCUGCAGGACUUGGGUCACUGCUGUGGUACAGGUUUGAUCCCUGGCCCAGGAACUUCCAUGUCCCACAGGUGCAACCAAAAAAUAUUAUCUAUUAUUAUGGAGCUUCUGUGGGUUAGGAAUUCAGGAGCAGCUUAGCUGAGUGGUUCUGGCUCAGAGUUUCAUGAAUUUAUAGUUAAGUUGUUGACUGGGGAUGCAUUCAUCUGAAGGCUUGACUGAGGCUGGAGGACUGGCCUCUGGUAUGCUCAUUCACCUGUGUUGGCAGGAAGCCUUAGUUUCUCACCAUUUGGACCUGUCCCACAAGGCUGCUUGAAUGUCCUUACAACAUGGCAGCUGCCUUCCCCCAGAAUGAAUGAUCCAGGAAGACAGACUGGAAUGGAUGCUGCAGUGUCUUUUGUGAUCUAGUAUCAGAAUCAUACACCAUCACUUCUUUAUUUGUUAGGAACAAGUCACUCAACCCUGCUCAUACCCAAAGUGGGGGAGAAUUAGGCUCUAUUUCUUGAAGGGACUGUCAAAGAAUUUGUAGACAUAUUUUAUAAUCUCCACAGUCAUAAAGCACUAGGAAAAUGUUAAUUAACAUUGCAGGCAAGAGUUAUGAUUUGUGUACUCUUGGCCUUGUUAGAUGCAUUCUCUUUGUCACAUUCAGGAAAGGCUGUUGACUCUCAGCUCCUUUGUGCCUCUUAGGUUCUGUUAAUUGGUUAAUGAUUCACAGACAAUUCAUGGAUAGUCUUUUCUAUACAGCAAGACUGCAGGCUCCCUGCAGUCUCGACAUGUCUCAGAUUUCUGAUGCAACCUUGCAGAGUGAGGUUUUUGCAAAGUGAUGUCUAGUUCCAACUGUGAGAAUAUGGUUCUAGAGUUUCGACCCUCCACAGAAAUGGUGAGGGGAGGUAGAGGAGGAGUUGGCAUAUUGGAAAAAAUAAUAAACUUGCUUUUGCAUACAUUUAGUUUGAGGAACUUAAAAGGUGUGUAGAUGGAGUUCCCAUCACGGUGCAGCAGAAACGAAUCCGACUGGGAACAGUGAGGUUGUAGAUUAGAUCCCUGGCCUCGCUCAGUGGGUUAAGGAACUGGCAUUGCCAUGAGCUGUGGUGUAGGUCAAAGACACGGCUAGGAUCUGAUUUGUACAAGUAGCUUUGCUGUGGCUGUAGCACAGGCCGGAGGCUGUAGCUCCAAUCAGUCAGACCCCUAGCUUGGGAACCUCCAUGUGCCAAAGGUGUGGCCCUAAAAAAAAAAAAAAAAAAAA